UACGGAGGCUCCAAGCGUUACUCGGAAUCACUGGGCGUAAAGGAUGCGUAGGCGGUCGUGUGUGUCAGAUGUGAAAUCCUGUGGCUUAACCAUAGAACUGCGUUUGAAACUACACGGCUAGAGUAUCGGAGAGGCAGGCGGAAUUCCAGGUGUAGCGGUGAAAUGCGUAGAUAUCUGGAGGAACACCAAUGGCGAAGGCAGCCUGCUGGACGAUUACUGACGCUGAGGCAUGAAAGUGUGGGUAGCGAAAGGG
rnacentral:misc_RNA from 1 species